GACGAACGCUGGCGGCGUGCUUAACACAUGCAAGUCGAACGGUGAAGGGAUCAGCUUGCUGGUUCUGGAUGAGUGGCGAACGGGUGAGUAACACGUGAGUAACCUGCCCCCUUCUUCUGGAUAACCGCAUGAAAGUGUGGCUAAUACGGGAUAUUCUGGGUCUGUCGCAUGGCGGGUCUGGGAAAGAUGCGCCUUUGGGUGUUUUUGGUGGGGGAUGGGCUCGCGGCCUAUCAGCUUGUUGGUGGGGUGAUGGCCUACCAAGGCGGUGACGGGUAGCCGGCCUGAGAGGGUGGACGGUCACACUGGGACUGAGACACGGCCCAGACUCCUACGGGAGGCAGCAGUGGGGAAUAUUGCACAAUGGGCGCAAGCCUGAUGCAGCGACGCCGCGUGAGGGAUGGAGGCCUUCGGGUUGUAAACCUCUUUCGCCAGUGAAGCAGGCCUGCUUCCUUGUGGGUGGGGUGACGGUAGCUGGAUAAG
rnacentral:rRNA from 1 species